rnacentral:rRNA from 1 species
CCAAUAGCGUAUAUUAAAGUUGUUGCAGUUAAAAAGCUCGUAGUUGAAUUUCGGGAUCAAGGAAUCGGUCAUGCCUCGGUAUGUACUGGUUUUAUUGGUUCUCACCUUCUAAAGAACCAUAAUGUCAUUUAUUUGGUGUUAUGGGGAAUUAGGACUGUUACCUUGAAAAAAUUAGAGUGUUUAAAGCAAGCUUACGCUUGAAUACAUUAGCAUGGAAUAAUGAAAUAGGACAUCCGAUUCUAUUUUGUUGGUUUCUAGGAUCGAUGUAAUGAUUAAUAGGGAUAGUUGGGGGCAUUAGUAUUCAAUUGUCAGAGGUGAAAUUCUUGGGUUUAUUGAAGACUAACUACUGCGAAAGCAUUUGCCAAGGAUGUUUUCAUUAAUCAAGAACGAAAGUUAGGGGAUCGAAGACGAUCAGAUACCGUCGUAGUCUUAGCCAUAAACUAUGCUGACUAGGGAUCGGAUGAUGUUUAUUUUUUAGUGACUCAUUCGGCACCUUACG